UACGUAGGGUGCGAGCGUUGUCCGGAAUUAUUGGGCGUAAAGGGCUCGUAGGCGGUCUGUUACGUCGGGAGUGAAAACUCAGGGCUUAACCCUGAGCCUGCUUCCGAUACGGGCAGACUAGAGGUAUGCAGGGGAGAACGGAAUUCCUGGUGUAGCGGUGAAAUGCGCAGAUAUCAGGAGGAACACCGGUGGCGAAGGCGGUUCUCUGGGCAUUACCUGACGCUGAGGAGCGAAAGCCAGGGGAGCAAACGGG
rnacentral:rRNA from 1 species